GAAACACUUGUUGUACAGAGAUCAGCUGUUACAGAGAUGUUGGGAGGAAAAGCUUGGAUCCCAGGUUGCACCCUGCUUAUGCUGGUCACAUUAUGUGGUGAAACUGCUCACUGCCAAAACCAACACAAAGAGAAAAUGGUGAAGUCCAACGGAGGAAGUCACUACACCAAUGAGAUGUACCAGAGAGCCCAGGAGAAAUUUGAGGAAGAGAGGAUCAGAGAGGAGGAGGAGGAAGAGCGAAGAAAGAGGGGAGAGGAAGAGAAGAUCGGAGAGGAGGAGAAAAACAGUGCUUUGUAUAAAGUGAUAGAUUGGUGGAAAGGGAAAGCCAUGUAUCCUCUGCAUCCUCUGCUUCCUCUGCUUCCUCUGCUUCCUGUGCUUCCUGUGCUUCCUUUGCUUCCUGUGCUUCCUUUGCUUCCUGUGCUUCCUUAUGUGCUUCCUUUGCUUCCUCUGCUUCUUCACAGGCCAUUGGACUUGACCCACACAGAGAUUGAUGCGUGCUUCUCUGGGAAACAUCUUAUCUCGUCUUGCAUCUACUGCAAAAAGAAAAACAGAUUCUUUUGUCCAGGAAGAUCUGGUCACUGACAGAUGUUUUAGUUGGAAAGAAGAAACAAGUUGUUUUCUUAAGGCAACGUAAACUCUGCUAUCGACCAUCGAGUGUUGAUUUUGACAUUAUCCAGGGAUGAAUAAAUUAUAAAAUUUGAUGACUCUGGGAGAAUUCUCUCCACGUUUAAAUCAACAAGAACUGUCAACCUUUUCUGACUUCUAAGGAACACUGGUAACCCUUUCCCAUUUACCAAAUUAACCCCCUCCUCAACUAUGAAUCUGCGAUGGAGCAACAUAGACACCUAGUUUUCAUCUGUGGUAAUGUGCACAUUGUAUUUUGACCAAUAAUGAAUUUGUUUAAAAGUCAUCAUGUGUUAGACGAAGUAUUGACUUCUUUGUUGUAUAAUCAUUAAUGUUAUUGUAAUACGUUUUUUAAUGUUUUAUCAGUGAUGACCAAUAGAUGUAAUAUCUUAAGUUUAAAGUUGUUGAGAAUGAGUAAUAACUUGACUUAGAAUUCCAUUUUUAUACUAAUGUUGAUCAGAAUAUCAGUGAUUAUAUAGCUUUUUGAUAUGUGUCUAUUUCGUGCAAAGUAAGGAACUCUAAAAUUAGUGAGGAGGGAAUUUUGUUUUUUGCACGUGUAAGAUUUAUUCAGUAAUAAAAAUUGAGUUGCUGAAUGAGAGGGCUUCGACCCCCUCCCUCCUCUACCUCCGUGAGGGGGGGUUAAAGAAAAGAUGACACAGAGUCACACAGAUCGAUUCAGCAGUUCGCUUGGAAAGUUUGCUCCAAAAGGAAUGGAUGUUAAUUUAAUUUUUUUCUAAAUCUCUUAAUCUUCCAAAUUAAUAAUUGCAACUUUUAUAGCUUCUAGAGAGAAUAGAGAUCACUUGCACUCACUCAAGGUUAUAAUUGCACGAUGUAUAUGUUUACUUGAUGUUUAUGUUUACAUGAGUCCUGAAUCUUAAACUGAAAUAUCAGUUUGCAUGCUUUGUUUGUUGUUGGGAAUUGGGAACAUGCUACAUACAUCUGUUUCUCUGUAUGUCAUUAUGUGGGCUAUAAACAUUUUUCAAUAAAGUCUGAAGUACAGCUCA